AAGCUACUGAUUAUCUCCACAGACUACAGUUCCAGACACAUUAUUUAAAUGGAAUGCUUUUUUGAACUAGUUGAUAAAAGAUCCCAAUUUCCCCCUGUUGUGGUAAAAGAUGUUCUAAGCCUUUAGAGAGACAGGGAAACAUUACACAACAGGAAAACUUUACUGUGUUCAAUACAUUACAGAUUUAUCUUACGGUGACAGUAGCAUUCUAUAGCUCCAGAAAACAUUGUCUGGUAACAAAAGGAUGUUCCUCAGUGUCUCUGAGACUAAGCCUCUUGAAAAAAACACUUGAGUUAAGAAACCAGCUCUUACCCUUUUGUUGACACUCACAUACCCUUAAGAAGAGUAGCUGAACACUGAGCUAAGAAAGGGCGUUUGUUCUGCCAUAAAAAGCAAGGUGCAUGGUGCAAAAGUGCUUUGACAAUCAAUUAUUAAGAAUCCAGAGAUGACAACUCCUAUACACAUAUGUAAGUCAAUAACCUUUGAGCAGUUAAUCCCCAGGGAUCACAGCAGACAGUGGCAGAAAGGAUCAAGGUCAGUGAUAAUGAUGUCAAAGUGAUGGUGAAGACCAAAUACAAUCUAGUCUAUCCCUAAGAAAAGAAAGCUUGCAGUGACUUUGU
rnacentral:lncRNA from 1 species